rnacentral:rRNA from 1 species
UGGGGAAUUUUGGACAAUGGGCGAAAGCCUGAUCCAGCAAUGCCGCGUGUGUGAAGAAGGCCUUCGGGUUGUAAAGCACUUUUGUCCGGAAAGAAAUCCUUGGCUCUAAUACAGUCGGGGGAUGACGGUACCGGAAGAAUAAGCACCGGCUAACUACGUGCCAGCAGCCGCGGUAAUACGUAGGGUGCAAGCGUUAAUCGGAAUUACUGGGCGUAAAGCGUGCGCAGGCGGUUUGCUAAGACCGAUGUGAAAUCCCCGGGCUCAACCUGGGAACUGCAUUGGUGACUGGCAGGCUAGAGUAUGGCAGAGGGGGGUAGAAUUCCACGUGUAGCAGUGAAAUGCGUAGAGAUGUGGAGGAAUACCGAUGGCGAAGGCAGCCCCCUGGGCCAAUACUGACGCUCAUGCACGAAAGCGUGGGGAGCAAACAGGAUUAGAUACCCUGGUAGUCCAUGCCCUAAACGAUGUCAACUAGUUGUUGGGGGAUUCAUUUCCUUAGUAACGUAGCUAACGCGUGAAGUUGACCGCCUGGGGAGUACGGUCGCAAGAUUAAAACUCAAA